rnacentral:rRNA from 1 species
GACGAACGCUGGCGGCGUGCUUAACACAUGCAAGUCGAACGGAAAGGCCCUGCUUUUGUGGGGUGCUCGAGUGGCGAACGGGUGAGUAACACGUGAGUAACCUGCCCUUGACUUUGGGAUAACUUCAGGAAACUGGGGCUAAUACCGGAUAGGAGCUCCUGCUGCAUGGUGGGGGUUGGAAAGUUUCGGCGGUUGGGGAUGGACUUGCGGCUUAUCAGCUUGUUGGUGGGGUAGUGGCUUACCAAGGCUUUGACGGGUAGCCGGCCUGAGAGGGUGACCGGCCACAUUGGGACUGAGAUACGGACCAGACUCAUACGGGAGGCAGCAGUGGGGAAUAUUGCACAAUGGGCGGAAGCCUGAUGCAACAACGCCGCGUGCGGGAUGACGGCCUUCGGGUUGUAAACCGCUUUCGCCUGUGACGAAGCGUGAGUGACGGUAAUGGGUAAAGAAGCACCGGCUAACUACGUG